GACGAACGCUGGCGGCGUGCUUAAUACAUGCAAGUCAACUGAGCUUAAGGUAGCAAUAUCUUAAGUGCGGUGGCGCACGGGUGAGUAACACGUAGGUAAUCUGCCUUUAGGUCUGACAUAAUCCCGCGAAAGCGGGACUAAAAUCAGAUGAUGCAGCGGCUCGACAUCGAGACAGUUGUUAAACCUUCGGGGCCUAAAGAUGAGCCUGCGUCUGAUUAGGUAGUUGGCGGAGUAAAGCCCACCAAGCCUGCGAUCAGUAGCUGGUCUGAGAGGAUGAUCAGCCACACUGGAACUGAGACACGGUCCAGACUCCUACGGGAGGCAGCAGUAAGGAAUAUUGCUCAAUGGCCGAAAGCCUGACGCAGCCAUGCCGCGUGAAUGAUGAAGGUCUUAGGAUUGUAAAGUUCUUUAGCCUGUGACGAUGAUGACGGUAACAGGAGAAUAAGCCCCGGCUAACUUCGUGCC
rnacentral:rRNA from 1 species